CAAUCGGCCCUUUUCAGGGCCACCAUUUACUUAAAGAAAAAGAUUU
rfam:Daphnia pulex DAPPTscaffold_6_Cont413, whole genome shotgun sequence.